GAACUUUCGUACUCCGAAUGCAUCUAGAUUAUAGUUUGAUCAUGGCUCAGAUUGANCGCUGGCGUGCAGGCCUAACACAUGCAAGUCGAGCUGGAUGACGGGAGCUUGCUCCUUGAUUCAGCGGCGGACGGGUGAGUAAUGCCUAGGAAUCUGCCUGGUAGUGGGGGACAACUGUUUCUGAAAUGGAACUGCUAAUACCUGCAUACUGUCCUACGUGGAUGAAAUGCAGUGGUGACCUUCGUGGCCUUGCGCUAUCAGAUGAGCCUAGGUCGGAUUAGCUAGUUGGUGGUGGUAAUUGGCUCACCAAUGGCUGACGAUCCGUAACUGGUCUGAGAGGAUGAUCAGUCACACUGGAACUGAGACACGGUCCAGACCCCUACGGGAGUGCAGCAGUGGGGAAUAUUGGACAAUGGGCGAAAGCCUGAUCCAGCCAUGCCGCGUGUGUGAAGAAGGUCUUCGGAUUGUAAGCACUUUUUGGGAGNAGAU
rnacentral:rRNA from 1 species